rnacentral:rRNA from 1 species
UGGGGAAUUUUGGACAAUGGGCGAAAGCCUGAUCCAGCAAUGCCGCGUGUGUGAAGAAGGCCUUCGGGUUGUAAAGCACUUUUGUCCGGAAAGAAAUCCUUGGCUCUAAUACAGUCGGGGGAUGACGGUACCGGAAGAAUAAGCACCGGCUAACUACGUGCCAGCAGCCGCGGUAAUACGUAGGGUGCAAGCGUUAAUCGGAAUUACUGGGCGUAAAGCGUGCGCAGGCGGUUUGCUAAGACCGAUGUGAAAUCCCCGGGCUCAACCUGGGAACUGCAUUGGUGACUGGCAGGCUAGAGUAUGGCAGAGGGGGGUAGAAUUCCACGUGUAGCAGUGAAAUGCGUAGAGAUGUGGAGGAAUACCGAUGGCGAAGGCAGCCCCCUGGGCCAAUACUGACGCUCAUGCACGAAAGCGUGGGGAGCAAACAGGAUUAGAUACCCUGGUAGUCCACGCCCUAAAACGAUGUCAACUAGUUGUUGGGGAUUCAUUUCCUUAGUAACGUAGCUAACGCGUGAAGUUGACCGCCUGGGGAGUACGGUCGCAAGAUUAAAACUUCAAAGGAAUUGACGGGGUCAUAGCUGUUUCCU